UGAGGGUUAAUGCCUUCAAGUCGAAAAGCUUUUAUUGAAAUGAGACAUUUCUCCAGAACCCUUGUGUUGCAUUCUGUAAAAAACAACAUAGAGCUACAUAACAACACAGAUCUGAGGAAUAAAGUACAGAGAAUCGUGUACAACCGAGUGCAGACAAAAGACAUUGGGUCGUGAUCCAGGGCCCAGCAGUGGCAACUCAGUGAUGCUGGGAUAUGAACCCAUGACAUUCCGAUCGAACAGCUCAGUAACAGCUAGAGCAAGAUCAAUUAAUAUAGAAUAUUUACUAAGGGUGCCAUUAUUAUUAUUAUUAUUAUUAUUAUUAUUAUUAUUAUUAUAUUACUGUAAGUCAUUGUAGCUGCGUCGAGUCGAUUCCCAUGAUGACAUCACCAAGAAAAGACAUGAACAAUGUUUUUUUUUUUUUUUUACUUUUUUAAUUUUGUCAAACCACCAUGUUUUUUUUAUUUUUUUAUUUUCAUUUUUUUUUUUACAUCACCAUCCAUUACACACUUUUCAGCGCGAGCGAACAUCCUCAAACCCCAAAGACGUGAUCGACCAGCCAAAACAGUGGGGUUUGAAGAAAAAGGGAGGGAGGGGUGGGGAGGGUCAGGGGGUAAAGGAGGGGCAAGUGAAGAAAGAGGAAGGAUUCUAACAGCAUUGCAAACCUUAGGCUGAAAUGUUCCUCAACCCCAGUCAGCAAACAGCGUUUCACUUACAUCACAUACUAGAGGCAUAUAAAACAUACAAGUUUACAGAAUGAGGUACGUUAAGUAUAAGUGUGUGUGUGUGUGUGUGUGUGUGUGUGUGUGUGUGUGUGUGUGUGUGUUUACGUAGUCAUGGGGAACGAAAGGUGAGGGACCGAGGAGCCAGGAUUUUUACAGAUGAGAGAUAAAAUAUUUAUAUAUAUAUAUAUUUAAUAUAAUAUAUAAAAAAAGGUUGAUCUCAUAUGAAAGAUUUCGGGCAGAGAUCCAGUGUGAUUUUUAUCCACAACACUACAACUAAUGUUACGCAUCGUACAUGACCCAGAUGUGG